ACUCGAACUAAGGAGACGAUAGAACAGAACAGACGAGAGAAAAUUGCAAAAUUGAUCGAAAGUGGCGUGCGAACCGUCGCUUGUGCAAAUUAGCGUCUUCAUUUUCACUUAAUUAAUACAAAACAACUAAAAACUGUGCAUUUACUGCUUACUUAAUACCAAUUUAUUAACAUUUAUAACAAAGUAAUUAAGUGAAAAGUGAUUUUCUGCAAGAAAAAUGUAAAAGUUGGGUCAAUUUAUACAACUACUCCACCAUUUUGUUUUCAAUUUCCCACCCUUAAUAAUUAUUUUUUUUAUGUGCAGACUGUAAUUGCAGAUUGCACUCUUUUUGUGUUUCUGUCUGUUGUAAAGAAGAAAGAUAAAUAAAGCGAAGCAUUGAAAGCGAUUUAGAUAUCUUCAGUGUUUAUUAAAGAAUAUUUUAAACGUUUGCACAAUAAUUAAAAAAUGAAGUACGUUUUUUGUACGAUUAUAAAAUAGAACAAGUGUGUGGAUUUUAUUUUCAUAUUCCUUGUGUAAUUGUUGUGUACCUCGUAUUGUAAUGAAGAAAAAUGUAUCUAUUGUGAAUCAAUCAUAUUAGUGUUUGCUGUCGCCGUUUGUCACGUACACCUUUUAAAAUAGAGUUUUAACUUGCAACAAAUUUUGCUGGAACUAAUGAAUUGUAAAUUAACUGGAUAUUUCAUAGCAACAAAAGAAAAAUAAACUUAAAACAAAAUGGCACUAACUGGAGGAACAGAUCCAAAAAUAGCCCGCAUUAUGGUCUUUAGACCAACCUGGGAGGAGUUUAAAGAUUUCCCGAAAUAUGUAGCUUACAUGGAGUCUCAGGGUGCACACAAAGCUGGACUGGCCAAAGUUGUACCUCCCCCCGAGUGGGUACCAAGAAAAAGUGGCUAUGAAGAUUUGGAUGCACUAAAUAUAACAAUACCCGCUCCCAUUUGUCAGGUUGUAACUGGAAAACAGGGUCUAUAUCAGCAAAUAAAUAUUCAAAAGAAACCGCUCACUGUUAAACAAUUUGCUGAAUUGGCCAACACCGAGCGUUAUCAACCACCAAAACACUUUGAUUUUGAAGAUCUUGAAAGAAAAUAUUGGAAAAACAUAACAUAUGUUGCACCAAUUUAUGGUGCAGAUGUAAGUGGAAGUAUUACGGAUCCAGAAAUGAAUAGCUGGAAUAUAAACCGUUUGGGAACAAUAUUGGAUUUUGUAAAUGAAGACUAUGGUAUCCAAAUCGAUGGUGUAAACACAGCGUACCUGUAUUUUGGAAUGUGGAAAACAACAUUUGCAUGGCACACCGAAGAUAUGGACUUGUAUUCUAUAAAUUAUUUACAUUUCGGUGCACCUAAAACGUGGUACGUUGUACCGCCUGAAUAUGGUCGAAAACUGGAAAAAGUUGCCAAUAGUUACUUUCCUGCAAGCUAUCAAAACUGCAAUGCAUACUUACGACAUAAAAUGACUUUAAUAAGUCCACAGAUUCUCAAACAACAUGAAGUUCCAGUCAGUAAGAUAACACAAGAAGCUGGUGAAAUAAUGAUAACAUUCCCGUUUGGCUAUCAUGCUGGUUUCAAUCAUGGAUUCAAUUGUGCCGAGUCGACAAACUUUGCAAUGGAGCGUUGGAUUGAAUAUGGAAAACGUGCCGUUCAGUGUACCUGCAGUAAUGAUAUGGUGAAAAUAUCAAUGGACACAUUUGUAAAACGUUUUCAACCGGAUCGGUAUCAAGCAUGGCUUGAAGGAACUGAUAUUGGUCAGCAUCCUGAAGAUCCACCUAAUGCAUUAACGGUCGCUCCACCUCCAACACAAUUAGAUGUUCUAUGCAAUAAGAAAAAUGGGGAUGUUCCUGUACGAUUAUUCCAAAGAAUGAAAAAACAUUGUAAUCCAACAAAGAAGAAAUCGUUUAAAGAACGCAACCCUGACCUUGAUCUCGAUGAAAUUCAAUCAAAUCCAAAUAUACCAGACGACGUGAAAGCUGUUUUAAAAGAAAGUGUUUUAACAUUGGACAUGGAUGAGGACGAAGAAGUACCUGCAAUAAUAGAACCCGCUAAUAUAAGUAGCAUUAGUCCGGCCGUAUUGAAGACUAAAAAGGAAUUACUUGAUUAUAUUGACGAUGGAUCCGAAUUUGACGAUGAUGAGGACGCAUUUAAAAAACGUAAGCAAAAACGAAAGUCUGAUGCUGAAUACGACGACGAUUGGUACGAAAGUAAACGCCGUUCAACUUCUCGUGGUAAAGGACGAAGUCCUAAAGGAAAAGAAUCUCCAGCCGAGAGUACAGUAAAAAUUAAAAAGGAACGUCUGUCCACGGAGAAAAUAGAAAAAAUUUCUAAACAAAAAUCGCCUCGAAAGACACCCACUAGAAAAAAGAAGGAGAACAAUGAUUCUUCAUCUAGCUCCGUACCAUCAUCUCCAGCAACAACCCCUAAACCAGCCGAUACAGAGGUUCUACGUAAAUUAAACGAACAUUUGAUGAAAAAUCUUAGCCCUACAUUUCAAUUCACUAAUCAUCCCAUUAAAUUUGAGGGAAAAAUCCCGAUAGUUAAAAAAUCUCCAUCAUCUGAAAAUAUUUAUCAGUCAAACGAUUUGUUUCAGCAACAAUUAAAAGUAGAAUCUUCUUCGGCAAUGUCGUCGCCUUCAUCUUCGGUUUCAGUUUGUGUAAAUUUAAACAAAACGUCUCCUCCAAAAAACACAGUUGAUUCGGCUGCAUCUGCUGCAGUGGCUGCAGCUGCUUACACGAACAAUUCUAGUCAACACAAUACUUUAAAUACAACGAUUGUGUACAAAGCCAUCGGAGGUGGAACAACAACAUUAUCACCAAUAGCCAUGAAAACUACUGCUUCGAAUAAUAUAAUAACAACAACAGAUGGUACAGCUCUAUGUAUCAAAAAUGAAGUCAUUGAUAGCGAAGGAAGUGUUGAUGCCGAAUCGGAAAUUAUAAAUACUAGUCAAAGUGGUGGUACAGGAGCGUCAUCAGAUGUUUACAUGGUCACCACUGAUAAUAAUACAACGUACAUCAUAAAUCAACAUCCAUCGCACCAAAUUACAUCAAUGCCUACUGCAAUAGGAAAAAUUGAAUGUACGGACGAUGUAAACAAUGACAACAAUUCAGCAUCAAUGAACAGUGCUUCAUCAAAUUACACAACAAAAAUGCUGUACAAUCUUAAACAGAAACGAAAACGAAAGCUGCGCAACGAACCCGACGAACAAUCGGAAUACUUGGAGAAAAUGUCUGUCCGCGGGUUGGAUAUUCAGAAAUAUGAGCAUAUUGUUGACGGAGUUGCUUAUUGUGCAGUGUGUGCUAAAAAAGAGAUCUUCAAAACAUUUAAAAACAAAUACAGUUUUCAAAGGCAUGCUUACCUAUUCCACGAAGGUGACAAUCGUAAAAUUUUUGCUUGUCCUGUAUGUAGUAAGGAGUUUUCGCGACCGGAUAAAAUGAAAAUGCAUAAAAAAGACAAACACAGCGAAAUUGUUGAUAUGGAAGAGCAAAUGAAGGCAGCUGCAGAGGAAGAGAAACCACCUGUAGUAGUCAAAACGCCUGUUCGAAGAAAGCGAGUUACUAAAGCUCAAAAACUACUGCAGCAACAACAACAACAAAUGGAAGAAGAAGAAGAGCAGCAACAGAUGCAAGGUGAUAGCCCCACAAUAGGAACAAUAAUUGAAACGAAAUCAGAAAACAAUAAUAACAGCAACCAAAGUUUAAACAAUUGUACAUCUCAUCAGAUGCAAACAAUUGAUUUGAGUAGCAUGAUUUUACCUAGUCAACUUCAAAUAAGUACAGCCGAACUUCUACAACACCACCAGCAGCAACAACAGCAACAGCAGCAGCAACAAUUGCAAAACACAACGAUUCUUUACAAUCAAAUUGAUUUAAAUAAUGCUUUGCUGCAAAAUCAAUUACAUGCAAAUAAUAUCAUAAUCCAAGGCCCAAUUGGCACAUCAAACGGUUCUCUCCUUCCAGUUCAAACAAUUCAAACUCAUGACGGUAGUAUAUUCCACCACCAGCCAUCGUCUCAGCAGCAACAUAUUCAAAUAAAAAAUGAGCUGCAAACGAUGACAAGCGUGCCUUUAAGCACCACACCCACUACAACACUUUCAUCGUCUUCAUCAUCUAAUUCAAAUCACAAUCAGCACAUUCACCAACAACACCAUCAACAACAUAAUAUUCAACAACACCACCAGCAACAUCAAAUGGAUAUGACUUCCUUAACAAAACUCGAAAAUGUAUCCUAUCUGCCAACUUCGAAUGAAAAUCAUGUCAUUGGAACUGUACAAAGUUAUCAAAUUAUUACUCCUGAUGGAUUACACGCCUAUCAUCCCAAGCUAAUAAAUUCAAAUGAAAUCGAACUAUGUCCGUUUACAUCAACGGCAGGAGGCAGUUACACAUUUAGCAAUACAUCGAGUCAAAGUAAUAACAAUAAUAAUAGCAACAACACCGACCAUUCCCAAUUUAUGGAUAUAAAGAAUGAAUUGCUGAUAAAAAGCGAUCAGUUCAUGGAUACAUCUGGAAUGUAUCAUUUACCAUUUUCACCUAGCUCCAUGAUUAAUGCUGUUAGUGAAGUGAAUAAUUCAUCUUUAUUGGAAACCAAAGAAAUUAGCUACGAUAUAACGGAAGCGGUGUUAUUAGCUCUCUGAGACUCAAAUGAGUAAGAAAACAAGAUUGGAAUUAUAGCAUGAAAAAAUAAAUUUAAUGUGCUUCAUUGGUCCCCAAGUAAAACAUAAAACGACCAAAAUGAAUACCUACCUAAAACUGAUAUUUUUUAUAUUAUGUUAACCCAAAAAUAUAAAACAGAACUGAGGCCUAAAAAACGCAAAACAUCAGCUGCCGCUAAGCAUUAGUUCGAAGCACCAAGAACUACACUUAAGUUUUGUCAGUAAAUUUACAGAUUUUUUUAAAUCCUAUGGAACAGAUCAUAAAGUCAAUGUUGAAAA